GACGAACGCUGGCGGCGUGCUUAACACAUGCAAGUCGUACGGUAAGGCCCUUUCGGGGGUACACGAGUGGCGAACGGGUGAGUAACACGUGAGUAACCUGCCCACAACUUUGGGAUAACGCUAGGAAACUGGUGCCAAUACUGGAUAUGUGCUCCUGCUGCAUGGGGGGGGUUGGAAAGCUCCGGCGGUUGUGGGUGGACUCGCGGCCUAUCUGCUUGUUGGUGGGGUAGUGGCCUACCAAGGCGGCGACGGGUAGCCGGCCUGAGAGGGUGACCGGCCACAUUGGGACUGAGGUACGGCCCAGCCUCCGACGGGAGGCAGCAGUGGGGAAUAUUGCACGAUGGGCGCAAGCCUGAUGCAGCAACGCCGCGUGCGGGAUGACGGCCUUCGGGUUGUAAACCGCUUUCAGCAGGGACGAAGCUUUUUGUGACGGUACCUGCAGAAGAAGCACCGGCUAACUACGUG
rnacentral:rRNA from 1 species